GAGACAGCAGUAGCCGCGGUAAUACGUAGGGUGCAAGCGUUAAUCGGAAUUACUGGGCGUAAAGCGUGCGCAGGCGGUUUGUUAAGACAGAUGUGAAAUCCCCGGGCUCAACCUGGGAACUGCAUUUGUGACUGGCAAGCUAGAGUGUGGCAGAGGGGGGCGGAAUUCCGCGUGUAGCAGUGAAAUGCGUAGAUGUGCGGAGGAACACCGAUGGCGAAGGCAGCCCCCUGGGCCAACACUGACGCUCAUGCACGAAAGCGUGGGGAGCAAACAGGAUUAGAUACCCGGGUAGUCCCUGUCUCUUAUAC
rnacentral:rRNA from 1 species